rnacentral:rRNA from 1 species
UACGUAGGGGGCAAGCGUUGUCCGGAAUCAUUGGGCGUAAAGCGCGUGUAGGCGGCCAGGUAAGUCCGUUCUGAAAGCCCGGGGCUCAACCCCGGGAGGCGGAUGGAUACUGCUUGGCUCGAGUCCGGAAGAGGAGAGUGGAAUUCCUGGUGUAGCGGUGAAAUGCGCAGAUAUCAGGAAGAACACCCGUGGCUAAGGCGGCUCUCUAGUACGGUACUGACGCUGAGACGCGAAAGCGUGGGGAGCGAACAGG